rnacentral:tRNA from 1 species
UCCCCGAUAGCUUAACGGUAGAGCAUCCGGCUGUUAACCGGAGGGUUGCAGGUUCGAAUUCUUGCCCGGGGAG